rnacentral:rRNA from 1 species
GUAGGUGGCAAGCGUUGUCCGGAAUUAUUGGGCGUAAAGCGCGCGCAGGCGGGUCCUUUAAGUCUGAUGUGAAAGCCCACGGGCUCAACCGUGGAGGGUCAUUGGAAACUGGGGGACUUGAGUACAGAAGAGGAAAGCGGAAUUCCAAGUGUAGCGGUGAAAUGCGUAGAGAUUUGGAGGAACACCAGUGGCGAAGGCGGCUUUCUGGUCUGUAACUGACGCUGAGGCGCGAAAGCGUGGGGAGCAAACAGGAUUAGAUACCCUGGUAGUCCACGCCGUAAACGAUGAGUGCUAGGUGUUAGGGGGUUUCCGCCCCUUAGUGCUGCAGCUAACGCAUUAAGCACUCCGCCUGGGGAGUACGGCCGCAAAGGCUG